CCUACGGGAGGCAGCAGUGGGGAAUAUUGGGCAAUGGACGCAAGUCUGACCCAGCAACGCCGCGUGAAGGAAGAAGGCUUUCGGGUUGUAAACUUCUUUUAAGGGGGAAGAGCAGAAGACGGUACCCCUUGAAUAAGCCACGGCUAACUACGUGCCAUCAGCCGCGGUAAUACGUAGGUGGCAAGUGUUAUCCGGAUUUACAGGGUGUAAAGGGCGUGGAACAGGUGAGGCAAGUCAGAUGUGAAAGCCGCGGGCUCAACUCGCGAACUGCCUUUGAAACUGUUUCUCUUUAGUAUCGGAGAGGUAUUCGGAAUUCCUAGUGUAGCGGUGAAAUGCGUAGAUAUUAGGCAGAACACCAGUGGCGAAGGCGGAUUACUGGACGUCAACUGACGGUGAGGCGCGAAAGCGUGGGGAGCAAACAGGAUUAGAUACCCUUGUAGUC
rnacentral:rRNA from 1 species